rnacentral:rRNA from 1 species
UACGUAGGGGGCGAGCGUUGUCCGGAUUCAUUGGGCGUAAAGCGCGCGUAGGCGGCUCCGCAAGUCGGCCGUGAAAUCUCCGGGCUCAACUCGGAGGGGUCGGGCGAGACUGCGAGGCUCGAGGUGGGCAGAGGGCAGUGGAAUUCCGGGUGUAGUGGUGGAAUGCGUAGAGAUCCGGAGGAACACCAGUGGCGAAGGCGGCUGCCUGGGCCUGGCCUGACGCUGAGGCGCGAAAGCGUGGGGAGCAAACGGG